GGCGGAAAUCAAAGCUGCUCAGGGAAUCAUUUUUGUUGGGAGGAGCGAUUCCUCCCCCACUUACUUCAGACACUGGAUGUAGAGAUAAAUCUUCACCAGGCUGCAGAGGACAGACACGGCACAGGCUCCUAUUAGCCCUGCAGGGGAGAAAAGAGCCUGAUUAAAAGAGCCAGAAAUCCCUUCCCCACGUAGUCACGCGGACUGCGAUCGAGUCACCUCUUCACCGUCUCUCGUGAAAUGAAACCGCCAGGCCUUCUCUCAUCUCUCACUAGUUUCCCAGACUUCAGAGCAUUCCUGUGGCAUCUUUCUGACCCUCGGCAAUUUGUCAACAUCCUUUUCGCUGUGUGGACACCAGAACCGGCCAGAGGCUCCAGGAAUGGUCAAAUGCUGUAUACAGAGUUUCCAACAGGUGUUGGCUCCAGCCCAUCAACGCCAGGCAAAGCAUUGUGGAACAUCAGAGGACAUCCCGCUCCUCCUAGUCUCUUCCAGUGCAAGGGAGUGAAGAUCCAGGCCUCUUCCCGCCCCCGAGGAGGAGACUUGUAACUGAACUCCUUCCACCAGCUGAAUUUGCAACUUGGAGCAGAAGCGGGGAAGGAAUAAAAAGCCCUAACGAGGAGAAACUUGUGUUUUUUAUGCUAAGGAGCAAGGAAUUCUAAGCAUAAGCAAAAGGUGCUCAGUGUUUGCCAUGGGUUAGCCCUAACGGGCACACAAAGCCUGCUUCUAUUACCUUCUGAAACUUAAGACUGUAACUCAUUUGUAUGUGUCCGCUUUAACCCUGUAAGUAACUCUCCUAUUUCCUUGUCCAGGUUAGUAAA